rnacentral:lncRNA from 1 species
UAGAAACAAUACAAAUACUAUCAACCCAAUUGCAGAAACGUACUUAGCAUAACAUAUACAUACUUAAACGCAUGAACUAGUAAUAUAACAGAGAUAUGUCACAUAUCAGCAUGCAACAUGUUAUAAAGCCUAUGUUCAAAGGCAUGAACAUGAUCGAAUGAAUCUGGAAUCGUUGCACAAGUAAGGAACAAGACUUCCCUGAAUUUCUUUGCCUUAGAACGGGUAAUAGGUCCUAAUGGUAAGACCUCCAGAUCGGUUUGCUUUGUUGGCGUAAAUGUGCUCACAUCAUUCCCCCCUUCUUGAAAAGGAUUUGUCCUCAAAUCUGUAGAAUCAUCAUAAGGGGUUAAAUCAGAAACAUUAAAUGUGGCACUCACAUUGUAUUCUCCCGGCAAGUGUAACUUGUAGGCAUUGUCAUUCACUUUCUUCAACACCUGAAAAGGACCAUCUCCGCGCGGUAAUAUCUUGGACCGCCUUUGGGCUGGAAAACGUUCCUUUCGGAAAUGAACCCAUACCCAAUCACCAACAUCGAAGGUGACUCGCUUUCUACCCUUAUUUGUAUGCUUUUCGUACUGUUGAGUCCUUCGUUCGAGGUUCUCCUUAACCUGUUGAUGCAAUUUCUUCACGUAUUCCGCUUUUGCUUUACCGUCCCUAUUCAUCACCUGUUCUUGUGGGAAAGGCAACAUAUCUAGAGGCGUAAUAGGAUUAAAGCCAUAAACAACCUCAAAAGGUGACAUCUUAGUAGCAAAAUGUACAUCAUGGUUAUAAGCGAAUUCAACAUGUGGCAAACAAUCUUCCCAAGUUUUGACAUUCUUUUUAAUGAUGGAACGAAGUAAAGUAGAUAAAACUCUAUUAAGAACCUCAGUUUGUCCAUCAGUCUGGGGAUGACAAGUAGUAGAAAACAUAAGUUUUGUACCUAAUUUGCUCCAAAGAGUCCUCCAAAAAUGACUCAAAAACUUCACAUCCCUGUCAGAAACAAUCGACCUAGGGAUACCAUGUAAUCGUACAACAUCUCUAAAGAACAAGUUAGCCACAUUAAUAGCAUCAUCAGUCUUAUGGCAUGAAAUGAAAUGUGCCAUCUUCGAGAACCUAUCAACCACAACAAAUAUGCUAUCCCUACCUGUUCUAGUUUGAGGCAAUCCCAAAACAAAGUCUAUUGAAAUAUCCGUCCAAGGGGAUUCAGGAAUAGGUAAAGGUAAGUACAUACCAUGUGGUGAAACCUUCGAUUUUGCUUUUCGACAAGUCACACAACAUUCACAAUACCUUUCAACGUCCCUGUGUAUCUUAGGCCAAAAAAGAUGCUCUGUUAAGGUGUGUAACGUUUUAGUGACCCCAAAAUGACCCAUCAAUCCACCUUCAUGUGCUUCGCGGAUCAGUAUAUCACGCAUUGAACCCUGUGGAAUGCAUAUCCUAUUUUCUUUGAAAAGAUAUCCAUCAUGCCUGUAGAAUUUUCCAUCUGCUCCUUUCUCACAAGCAUUAUACUUAUCUCUAAAAUUAGGAUCUUCAGAAUAUAAUUCUCUAAUAUAUGCAAAUCCAAUCAACUGUGAAUCAAGGUAACUCAAAAGGGUAUAUCUACGUGAUAAUGCAUCAGCAACGACAUUGUCUUUUCCCUUUUUGUAACGAAUGACAUAAGGAAAAGAUUCCAAAAAUUUAACCCAUUUAGCAUGUCGUUUAUUCAAUUUAUGCUGACCUGUAAUAUACCGCAAAGCCUCAUGGUCAGUGUGGAUGACAAACUCUUUAGGCAACAAAUAAUGUUGCCACAUCUCCAAAGCCCGGAUCAGUGCGUACAUUUCCUUGUCAUAAACAGGAUAAUUCAACAUUGCUCCGCUAAGUUUCUCACUGAAAUAUGCAAUGGGCCUCUUUUUCUGUGACAAAACAGCACCUAUACCAACUCCAGAAGCAUCACAUUCAAUUUCAAACAUUUUAUCAAAAUCAGGUAAUGCUAAAACAGGGGCUUUUGUCAAAUAAUCUUUUAUUUUUAAAAAGGCAUCUUCUUGUUCUUUACCCCAAGAGAAGACGGAAUUCUUCUUUAUAAUCCUGGUUGAGGGAGCGGUAAUAGAACUGAAUUGGGGAACAAACCGACGGUAAAAACUGGCUAAACCAUGAAACGAUCUAACCUGACUAAUGGAUGCCGGUCGUGGCCAAUUUUGAAUCGCCUUUAUCUUCUCAGGAUCAACCUCAACUCCCUAAGAACUAACAAUAUAACCAAGAAAUGUAAGUUUGUUAGUACAAAAUACACAUUUCUCCAUGUUACCGAACAAUUUCUCUUCUCGCAAAGUCUGCAAAAUAGCUCGUAAAUGUUCUAUAUGAUCCUGCAAAGUCUUGCUAUAAAUUAGUAUGUCAUCAAAGUAUACAACACAAAAUUUGCCUAUAAAAGAUCGCAGAACAUGAUUCAUCAGUCUCAUAAAAGUACUAGGUGCAUUCGUUAAUCCAAAUGGCAUCACUAACCAUUCGUACAAACCUAGCUUUGUUUUGAAAGCUGUCUUCCACUCGUCGCCUUCUUUCAUGCGAAUCUGGUGAUAUCCACUCUUCAAAUCAAUUUUGGAGAAGAUAGUCGCUCCGCAUAAUUCAUCCAGCAUGUCAUCGAGUCGAGGAAUGGGGUGUCGAUACUUGAUUGUGAUUUGAUUUACUGCUCGACAAUCAACACACAUCCUCCAAGUCCCAUCUUUCUUAGGUACCAAUAGCACUGGUACGGCGCACGGGCUUAAACUCUCUCGAGUGUAACCUUUAUCCAACAACUCUAAAAUCUGUCUUUGAAGUUCCUUUAUCUCUUCGAGGUUACUUCGAUAGGAUGGUCUAUUUUGGAAUUGUGACUCCAUGGAUGAAAUCAAUCUGGUGCUCAAUGCCACGAAGAGGGGGUAAACCCUUGGGUGUUUCAUCCGAAAACACAUCUUGAAAUUCCUACAAAAGAGAUGAAAUGGAAGUGGGCAAAACAUUAGAAGUUUCAGACAAUAAAAAAGAAUCUUUAAACAACAAAAUGAGCAAAUAUUGUUUAGAGGAAAGACAUUUCCUGAUUUCUUUGCUACUUGCAUACACAUUCAUCUUGUUUUUCCCACGAACUUCUUCAGUAUUCUUUCGGAAUCUCUCCUGAUCUUCUUGCACUUGACUCAGUGUCAAAGGUCUAAGAUGAGCUUCUUUCCUUUGUGCAUAAAAGAAUAUCUGUUUGUAAAACCAUCAUGCGUUUUCCUCUUAUCAAACUGCAACGGAUGACCUAAUAGCAAAUGGCUCGCAUCCAUUGAAACGACAUUGCAAAGUACUUCAUCCUUGUACUUUCCAAUGGCAAACGGAACUAACACCUGCUUGUUUACUUUAAUCUCUCCUCCAUUAUUCAGCCACUGCAAUUUAUAGGGAUUGGGAUGCUUUGUCGUCUUCAGUCCUAACUUUUCAACCAUCACGGAACUAGCAACAUUAGUGCAACUACCACCAUCGAUAAUUACAACACAUACCUUGUCAUUGACAAGACAUCUUGUAUGAAAGAUGUUCUCUCGCUGCUGUUCUUCUUGAGUUGGUUGAGUGUUCAAACUUCUCUUGAUAACAAGUGCUUCACCGGUUACAAAUGUCUGCACAUUGUCAUCAUCUUCAUCAACAUCUACUGUAUGGAGUUCUGGCUCUUCUUCUUCUGUCUCGGACUCAAUCUCACCACUCUCUAAUAGUAUCAUGGUCCUCCAAUUUCGACAUUGACUGGCAAUAUGUCCUCUACCAAGGCACUUAAAGCACAAAAUGUCUCUUGAACGUUCUGGUUGCAUUUGUUGUUUCCCACGCCCAACAUCAACAACUGGAGCCUUGGGUUUGCUCGUUUCACCCUUUUCUUUGAUUUGGAAUGGUGUUUGCUUCCUGAAAUUGUUAGGAGUACCCAAAGGAUUGGAAAAUGAUUUAAAUGGAGUAUUACCUCUAUUAGAAGACUUUCUACAUUGCUGUCUUUCAACUUUAAUCGCCAUAUGCACCAUGUCCUCCAACUCAACAUAAUGCUGCAACUCAACAACGUUAGAAAUUUCAGAGUUUAAUCCUGCAAGGAAUCAUUCCAUAGUAUCCUCUCGAUCCUCAACAAUGUUGGCUCGCAUCAUGGACACCUCUAUUUCCUUGUAGUAGUCUUCUACACUCCUAUUUCCCUGUUUUAUCGAUUGUAAUUUCUGGAAUAAAUCACGAUGAUAGUGAGAAGGAACAAAUCUCUUGAGCAUGAUUUGCUUCAUUUCUGCCCAAGUUCUCACUGGACCUUCACCGGUACGUCUUCGACUUAUCAAUAAUUGAUCCCACCAGAUCAAAGCGUAGUCUGUGAAUUCCAUCACAGCCAAACGAACCUUCUUCUGUUCUGAGUAAUUAUAACACUCGAAAACAUGUUCUACCCUGCUUUCCCAAGCAAGAUAUGCAUCAGGAUCUGUUCGUCCCUGAAAUGAAGGUAUAGCAACUUUUAUGUUAGAAAUAUUAUCAUAUACUGCGCGUCCUGAUCGUUGAUUCACCCUUGGUGAAUGUUCGACAUCAUUUUCAUCAUUCUGUUCAUUAUGGACAGAUUGGGAACCACCCCCAUCGAUCUUGUCCAAACGAGAAUGUAUAGGCUCUAAUGCAUUUUCUAACAGACGUUGCAAGGUGCGAGUAAGAGCCUGUAUUUGCAAAUCUGGUGGCUGAUUUUCAUCACAAAUACGAUCUACUGAUCCCGUCAUACUUAAACAACACAAAGAAUACUGAUAAAAAGUUAAGUAAAACAAAAAUAAUAAUAAAAGUCCUCACAGCACACUCACAAAACCUCUCGGUUUUCACUCCAAAGAACGGUGCACUCAAAAUACACUCAGCGCUCAUGUUUCACUUGAGAGAAUGCUUGAAUGGCUUUUUUUGUCUCCCCUUCUAUUCUCACAACGCUCAAUGCCUUUUUCCACUCGAUCACUCUUAAUCAGUUCUUUAGGGAACUAACCCGAUCCUUCGGACUUAUUAACUGUGUCAAACUUACAAGAAAAAGGGAAAAGAAAGAAAAAAAAUAAAGGCUAAAGAAACAAAUAGUUAAAGAAAGAUAUAGGACUGGCAAAGAAAGAGAAAAAAAACGAAGAAACGAGGAUGACAAUAAGAAAGGAAAAAAAACUCAACAACUUACUACAAAAGAAAUGCUUACAAUAAUUCUAUCACCGAAUCAAACAAGAAAAGUUGUUUCGGAUGAUUUUCACGCAAUUCAAGGUGUAAUUUGAGUAGCUUCCAACAUGUCACACACAAUUCAACACUAUUCUUUUGUAAUUUGCACAAAAUCUCAAAAACUGAUUUUAUUAUAUAUAUUUUUCGAAUUUUUUUUUUCUUUUAAACUUUGAUAUUCGAAAUUUUUUUUGUUUUUUUGUUUUGCUUUUUUUAAACUUUGAUCAAUAUAUAAAUUUUUUUAUUUUUUUUGUUUGUUUUCUUUUGGUGCAGAACGUGCCAAAAUCCAACCUAAGCUCUGAUUACCACUUGAUAAGGCGUUGCUUAUCGAAACCACGAACCUUGAAGGAUUACGGAUCUAGGAUUAUAGCAACAUCCUUUCUGCAGCAUAAACAACACACAAACAAAACAAAAAAAAGGGAACAAAAUUCAACAUAUAAAAAAAUAAAAUUGGAGACGAAAAACUCGAAAGAACCUGCACAAUAGACUAUGCAAACCUGAAUCGAAUAUGUUUCACGUCGAAGGACUUGGACCCUCUAGAUAGCAAUCUAGGAACCCUAAGUAUCAAGGAAGUUUUGACACGACAAACUAAGUCUGAAAUGUCAAAAGAAAGUUCAAUGAAGAAUCGAAAUUGAGAGAAAAUUCUCACAAGUAUUUGUUUAAUAAAAAUCAUCUAACCAGAUUACAUUGUUUGAACAUCUAUUUAUAAGUACAAGGAAGGGGUUGUCGAAAUUGAAUUAGUGGCUGUAAAUACAGAAUUCAAAUUUGAAUAUGAAGGAGUUAUAUCCUCUCUUGGCGCCAUCAAAUACCAGCCACACAUUGAAUAUGAGUGAAACGUUUGAAAUUCAAAAAUUUAAACUCUUGUUCUUAUCCAAAACGUUUGAAAUUCAAACAUUUGAACUCUUGUUCUUAUCCCUUUGAAUUUAGCGUCAUAUGUAGAGAAGAGGGCUGAUUUCGGCCACACAUGCACACACAUGUGUCAAGGCUGUUACGUGUGUGCUAUACAUACUGGGAUGCCACCUAGGCUGUCACAUGUGUAUGGGACACUCCCCGACACGUAGGACACCUUCCAGCUACAUCUGGACUUGUUAGCUAGAGUUGAGCUGGUGGAGCUGAAAUUGAGCUAGCUAGAAAUGUACUGAGCUGAAAUGAGUUGGAAACGAACUUUCUGAACUAUUUCGAGCUGAGAGGAGCUGCACGCACAUAUUUGAGCUUCAACCGAGCUAGAAAUGAGGCCUUAAGCUGCUAUCCAUUAUUGUACCUAUAUCAAAACAUAUCAAACUUCCAUCAAAGUCUUGUAAAUUUAAUGGAAAUCACAAUUACAAGCUGGAACACUUGCAAUUCUUAUUCUUUAACACACUUACAAUUUAGAAACAACUUAGAAACAAUACAAAUACUAUCAACCCAAUUGCAGAAACGUACUUAGCAUAACAUAUACAUACUUAAACCCAUGAACUAGUAAUAUAACAGAGAUAUGUCGCAUAUCAGCAUGCAACAUGUUAUAAAGCCUAUGUUCAAAGGCAUGAACAUGAUCGAAUGAAUCUGGAAUCGUUGCACAAGUAAGGAACAAGACUUCCCUGAAUUUCUUUGCCUUAGAACGGGUAAUAGGUCCUAAUGGUAAGACCUCCGGAUCGGUUUGCUUUGUUGGCGUAAAUGUGCUCACAUCAGCAUGUGAAAGGGCUCUUUUGUUUGUAGUUAAGAUGGGUUAUCGGCAUUUGAUUGUUGAAGGGGACUCUUUAACAGUCAUCAAGAACAUUAAGAAAAAGGAAAAAGAUAAAUCAGUUCUUAGGCCAAUAACGUAUCAAAUUAGUUUGCUGGAAAAAUGCUUUGAUUUUGUAACUUACACUUUUGUGCCCCGAAAUGUUAAUAGGACUGCUCACACACUGGCGCUGGAAGGCCGGAGGCAAUAGGCUUGUGGUGUCUGGCCAGAUGGAGUUCUUGAUUUUGUGAAGACGACGGCGAUGAUGGAUCGAUUGGCUUAGAAUAAAAAAUACCAGGGUUUUUCUUGACUCAGCUUUGAAAAUGGUGAAGACUCACCGCUCCUCCAGUUAUGGAUUCAAAGCUUCGUUCUCUUCUCUUCCUAAUCUUAAGAUCUUUUUCAGAAGGAGAAGCGAUACGUCUGUUGGCAGAUAUUGGGUUUUGAAAUUAGCUGCAGUUUUUUUGGGUUCAGGGUGGUUUUUCUUAUGCUAUUUUGGUUUUGAUUGUUUUUUAGGUUGUGUUGGCUUUUAGUUUAGGCUUUUUAAUAUCUCUGUCUUUUCAUUUUCUAUUCUGACUAUGUCUUUUCAUCUUUGCCUUAAGCCGUGUAAUUUUAAUAUAUCAACCAAUUUUUCAUGCAAAAUAAUAAUAAUAAUAAUGUGGAAUGGGUUUGAAAUUUGUCCUCCAUAUACUAA